rnacentral:rRNA from 1 species
AUUGAACGCUAGCGGGAUGCUUUACACAUGCAAGUCGAACGAGUGGCGGACGGGUGAGUAAUAUAUCGGAACGUGCCCAGUCGCGGGGGAUAACUACUCGAAAGAGUGGCUAAUACCGCAUAAUAUUGGAGCGGCCGAUCUCGGAUGAGCUAGUUGGUGGGGUAAAGUCUCACCAAGGCUACGACGCGUAGCUGGUUUGAGAGGACGACGAGCCACACGUGGACUGGGACGCGGCGCAGAGUCCGACCAUGUACAACAGGCAAAAAUCUUGGACAAGGGGGGAAACCCUGAGCCAGCCAUCCCGCGUGUAUGAGAAGGCCUUCGGGGUGUAAAGUACUGUUGGCAGAGAAGCGGUAUCUGCAGAAUAAGCACCGGCUAACUACGUGCCAGCAGCCGCGGUAAUAC